rnacentral:rRNA from 1 species
UGGGGGAUAUUGCACAAUGGGGGAAACCCUGAUGCAGCGACGCCGCGUGAGGGAAGAAGGUUUUCGGAUUGUAAACCUCUGUCCUUGGUGACGAUAAUGACGGUAGCCAAGGAGGAAGCUCCGGCUAACUACGUGCCAGCAGCCGCGGUAAUACGUAGGGAGCAAGCGUUGUCCGGAAUUACUGGGUGUAAAGGGAGCGUAGGCGGGAAGGCAAGUUGAAUGUUUAAACUAUCGGCUCAACCGGUAGUCGCGUUCAAAACUGCAUUUCUUGAGUGAAGUAGAGGCAGGCGGAAUUCCUAGUGUAGCGGUGAAAUGCGUAGAUAUUAGGAGGAACACCAGUGGCGAAGGCGGCCUGCUGGGCUUUAACUGACGCUGAGGCUCGAAAGCGUGGGUAGCAAACAGG